UCGAGCGGUACACAGAGAGCUUGCUCUCGGGUGACGAGCGGCGGACGGGUGAGUAAUGUCUGGGAAACUGCCUGAUGGAGGGGGAUAACUACUGGAAACGGUAGCUAAUACCGCAUAACGUCGCAAGACCAAAGUGGGGGACCUUCGGGCCUCAUGCCAUCAGAUGUGCCCAGAUGGGAUUAGCUAGUAGGUGGGGUAAUGGCUCACCUAGGCGACGAUCCCUAGCUGGUCUGAGAGGAUGACCAGCCACACUGGAACUGAGACACGGUCCAGACUCCUACGGGAGGCAGCAGUGGGGAAUAUUGCACAAUGGGCGCAAGCCUGAUGCAGCCAUGCCGCGUGUAUGAAGAAGGCCUUCGGGUUGUAAAGUACUUUCAGCGAGGAGGAAGGCAUUAAGGUUAAUAACCUUGGUGAUUGACGUUACUCGCAGAAGAAGCACCGGCUAACUCCGUGCCAGCAGCCGCGGUAAUACGGAGGGUGCAAGCGUUAAUCGGAAUUACUGGGCGUAAAGCGCACGCAGGCGGUCUGUCAAGUCGGAUGUGAAAUCCCCGGGCUCAACCUGGGAACUGCAUUCGAAACUGGCAGGCUAGAGUCUUGUAGAGGGGGGUAGAAUUCCAGGUGUAGCGGUGAAAUGCGUAGAGAUCUGGAGGAAUACCGGUGGCGAAGGCGGCCCCCUGGACAAAGACUGACGCUCAGGUGCGAAAGCGUGGGGAGCAAACAGGAUUAGAUACCCUGGUAGUCCACGCCGUAAACGAUGUCGACUUGGAGGUUGUGCCCUUGAGGCGUGGCUUCCGGAGCUAACGCGUUAAGUCGACCGCCUGGGGAGUACGGCCGCAAGGUUAAAACUCAAAUGAAUUGACGGGGGCCCGCACAAGCGGUGGAGCAUGUGGUUUAAUUCGAUGCAACGCGAAGAACCUUACCUACUCUUGACAUCCAGAGAACUUAGCAGAGAUGCUUUGGUGCCUUCGGGAACUCUGAGACAGGUGCUGCAUGGCUGUCGUCAGCUCGUGUUGUGAAAUGUUGGGUUAAGUCCCGCAACGAGCGCAACCCUUAUCCUUUGUUGCCAGCGGUCCGGCCGGGAACUCAAAGGAGACUGCCAGUGAUAAACUGGAGGAAGGUGGGGAUGACGUCAAGUCAUCAUGGCCCUUACGAGUAGGGCUACACACGUGCUACAAUGGCAUAUACAAAGAGAAGCGACCUCGCGAGAGCAAGCGGACCUCAUAAAGUAUGUCGUAGUCCGGAUUGGAGUCUGCAACUCGACUCCAUGAAGUCGGAAUCGCUAGUAAUCGUAGAUCAGAAUGCUACGGUGAAUACGUUCCCGGGCCUUGUACACACCGCCCGUCACACCAUGGGAGUGGGUUGCAAAAGAAGUAGGUAGCUUAACCUUCGGGAGGGCGCUACC
rnacentral:rRNA from 1 species